UGUCCAGGGGGCCGCCUUCGCCACCGGUAUUCCUCCAGAUCUCUACGCAUUUCACCGCUACACCUGGAAUUCUACCCCCCUCUACAAGACUCUAGCCUGCCAGUUUCGGAUGCAGUUCCCAGGUUGAGCCCGGGGAUUUCACAUCCGACUUGACAGACCGCCUGCGUGCGCUUUACGCCCAGUAAUUCCGAUUAACGCUUGCACCCUCCGUAUUACCGCGGCUGCUGGCACGGAGUUAGCCGGUGCUUCUUCUGCGAGUAACGUCAAUUGCUGCGGUUAUUAACCACAACACCUUCCUCCUCGCUGAAAGUACUUUACAACCCGAAGGCCUUCUUCAUACACGCGGCAUGGCUGCAUCAGGCUUGCGCCCAUUGUGCAAUAUUCCCCACUGCUGCCUCCCGUAGGAGUCUGGACCGUGUCUCAGUUCCAGUGUGGCUGGUCAUCCUCUCAGACCAGCUAGGGAUCGUCGCCUAGGUGAGCCGUUACCCCACCUACUAGCUAAUCCCAUCUGGGCACAUCCGAUGGCAAGAGGCCCGAAGGUCCCCCUCUUUGGUCUUGCGACGUUAUGCGGUAUUAGCUACCGUUUCCAGUAGUUAUCCCCCUCCAUCGGGCAGUUUCCCAGACAUUACUCACCCGUCCGCCACUCGUCACCCAAGGAGCAAGCUCCUCUGUGCUACCGUUCGACUUGCAUGUGUUAGGCCUGCCGCCAG
rnacentral:rRNA from 1 species